rnacentral:rRNA from 1 species
UACGAAGGGGGCUAGCGUUGCUCGGAAUCACUGGGCGUAAAGCGCACGUAGGCGGAUCUUUAAGUCAGGGGUGAAAUCCCAAGGCUCAACCUUGGAACUGCCUUUGAUACUGGCGAUCUCGAGUUCGGGAGAGGUGAGUGGAACUGCGAGUGUAGAGGUGAAUUCGUAGAUAUUCGCAAGAACACCAGUGGCGAAGGCGGCUCACUGGCCCGAUACUGACGCUGAGGUGCGAAAGCGUGGGGAGCAAACAGGG